rfam:Myotis lucifugus cont2.43347, whole genome shotgun sequence.
GGCAGUUCUUGGGUGACACCCCAAAAUCGGGCUCCCUCCUCUCUGGUUCCAGGUGCGCCUGAGAACCACA